CCUACGGGCGGCAGCAGUGGGGAAUAUUGCACAAUGGGGGGAACCCUGAUGCAGCGACGCCGCGUGGGUGAGGAAGGACUUCGGUAUGUAAAGCCCUAUCAGCAGGGAAGAAAAUGACGGUACCUGACUAAGAAGCCACGGCUACUACGUGCAAGCAGCCGCGGUAAUACGGAGGGGGCAAGCGGUAUCCGGAUUUACUGGGUGUAAAGGGAGCGUAGACGGCGUGCCAAGUCUGGUGGGAAAGGCCGGGGCUCAACCCCGGGACUGCCUUGGAAACUGGCAUGCUGGAGUGCCGGAGGGGCAAGCGGACUUCCUAGUGUAGCGGUGAAAUGCGUAGCUAUUAGGAGGAACACCGGUGGCGACGGCGGCUUGCUGUACGGUACCUGCCGUUGAGGCUC
rnacentral:rRNA from 1 species